GCUAGCUUACCUUGUUCCCUGGAGAGAGGGAGAAGCGGAUGAUAGGUUGCCAGCAGCACAGCUUCCAUGAGGAUUCAGCUCAGAGAGGAAAACUCCACAGGGAAUCUCUAAGUUCCAAUUUGUUGCUGUAAUUAGGCAUUUUGUCUCAUUUAUCUCCACUUCAAAGAUCACCUAAAACAUUAUUCAGGGAAAGUUGAUUCACAGUUAUUUCAUACAUGAACUGACACGCAUCAAGUUGCCUGGAGUUUUCUGUCUUGACAUGUAAAAAAUUGGAUUUCUUUGUGUGUCUGUGAGAACAGGUGAGGCUGAGCAGACGCUUCGCUCUUAAAUAAACUUUUAUGUGCAUCG